AGCAGCCGCGGUAAUUCCAGCUCCAAUAGCGUAUAUUAAAGUUGUUGCAGUUAAAAAGCUCGUAGUUGAAUUUCGGGAUCAAUUAAUUGGUCGUGCCUCUGGUACGUACUGAUUUUAUUGGUUUCUCCCUUCUGAAGAACCAUGAUGUCAUUAAUUUGGUGUCGUGGAGAAUCAGGACUGUUACUUUGAAAAAAUUAGAGUGUUUAAAGCAAGCUAACGCUUGAAUACAUUAGCAUGGAAUAAUGAAAUAGGACGUUUGAUCCUAUUUUGUUGGUUUCUAGGAUCGACGUAAUGAUUAAUAGGGAUAGUUGGGGGCAUUAGUAUUCAAUUGUCAGAGGUGAAAUUCUUGGAUUUAUUGAAGACUAACUACUGCGAAAGCAUUUGCCAAGGAUGUUUUCAUUAAUCAAGAACGAAAGUUAGGGGAUCGAAGACGAUCAGAUACCGUCGUAGUCUUAACCAUAAACUAUGCCGACUAGGGAUCGGAUGAUGUUAAUUUUUUAAUGACUCAUUCGGCGCCUUACG
rnacentral:rRNA from 1 species